UGUUUCCAAUUGAGACUCUUCUCUGCCUGGGGCCACGCCCACAGUGAAAGCUCAUUGGUCCAGAUGCUUCAACUUCCUACACAAACAAACUUCUGCUGUAUUGCUAAAUUGAAAGAAGCAGCUUGUUGUCAUGGUGUAUUCUAAAGUCUGGAUUCAGGACAGAGGGACAGUAUUUUAGUUGCUGAUAUGUGAUGCUGACGCUGUGCUGCAUGAAGAAGUUUUCAUUUAUAAAUGUUGGACUUGUGCCCAGACUGCUAUGGUAGAAUCUGGAAGAAAACACAAUAAGGAGAAGAACGUCAGACCAAUUUUGCAGGAACAUAUGUGGGGGGGAAAAGGCUUUAACAAAAGACAUUUUUCGAACAGUGAAAGAACUAGACCAUGGACAAUAGUUAUGAAUCUUUAAAAAUCUAUCCUGCGUCAACCACUAUUAUCCAUGCAGAGUCAAAAGAAUGCUUUAUCUGUCGAGAAGGAGACGAGAUGGGUUGUGACGCUCUGCUGCACUUCUGUGACUGCAAAAACCUGAUUGCUCACCAGAAGUGUGUGUUAACCUGGAUACAAAAGAGUUCUGAUAAUCAAGAUAGAGCAAGAUGCAAAGUAUGUACAGCUGAGUACCAGCUACAGAAAGGAUCAGUGUGGAGAAUCCUGUUUUGUCACUGGCAGAAUUGGCUCUUCUUCUGCUUGGUCCUGGCAGUAAUGACUAUCAUUCCCCUUGCAGUCUAUCGAAUGAUGGUAGCUUUUAAGGACCCUCCACCCAGUGCUGUAUUCCAUGCAGCAGCUGUGUGCUUUGGAGUUCUCGCAGAGACUCUUCUGAUAAAGAGGAUUUUUUUAAAGUGUGACAACAUAAUAUUGAACAACCAUGCAUACGUAUUGUAUUACUGCAGCAGCAAAUACAACGAGGCCAAGAUGUCUUCAUUUUCCGUCAGAGCGAGAACUGUAGAACAAUGUGAUCGAGGCGUUGGUCUUCUGUGGCCAGCCGGUCAGAACCCAUCAACAGCUGUGAUGAGCAGAGCAGAGAUGGGGAAACAGGAGGCAGUCAAAGCCAAAGAAGGUUUCGGCCUGAAGCUGUGUGUAUGACUGAAGCAGAGCAAGGCCAGGACCCAAGGAAACCCCAGCAGCAAGGGAAAAAACAGAUUGACUCUCAGUGACUCAUUUAGCUCCUGGAUUGGACAAAUCUCUCCCCUGCUGGCAGUUUGGCUGAGCAUCAAUGAGACAGAUACCAGGAUGAAUAGCUUAAAAUAAUUAGGGGGCCAAUCUGCAAAACUGCUCUCAUCCAAUUCUUUACUGUGUGAUGAAAGACACAAAACAAAUUACAUUUAGAUAUUAAAUAUUAAGUCACUGGAUUUACCUCCAUUUGGUCCAAAGCAGGAAACUGGAUAAAAUUCAAUUUUAUAUCAUUGUGUUGAUGGCCUGUUUUUCAUCAAAUGAGUGAGUGUUUGUUGGCAGGUCAGACUCUUUGACACAUGGGGAAAAUAGGUGCUUAAUUUAAAUGAGAAUUAAUGCAAUCAUAAUUAACACAAAUGUGAACAGAAUUAAACACAGGCAAGAGUUCAGUUUAAUGCUUAGCAGUUUAAACUAUAUGUUUUAGGAAACAUCCUGCUUCAGCUGAAGACAAUGGCAGUGUUGCCACUGAAUUCAAUGGAAACCGGAGUAGGCCUUCUAGGUAGACAGGCAGGAUUCCCUGUACUUUAUAUUUAAUGCACAAAAACAGAAGCAACAAGCUCAUUUAGUAUCAGUAAAGGUCAGUUAAAAUUAUAGAGACAUCCUUUGGAGCAAAUCUUCUGCCUUGUAUUUGCAUAUUUAUGAACUAGAGAUUAUGACAGGCCAUUCCAUUUAUUAGAGCAGCGCUGCUAUAGUUAAUAGUCUGUCAGCGUUUCCAUUAUAAACCCCGUUUUUCAGUGUUUUAAUUUCUCAGCCAUUUGAAAUCACAUCAGGAAGCAACGUAGCCCUUGUGUUGUCAGGCCAGGUGCAUUUUUUUUUAAAUUAAUAAAAAUAUAUUUAAAUGAGCUCA
ensembl:lncRNA